GUUCGCCCCACUGCUGAAUCUCAACUAUUUCAUCUGGCAACCCGGAUGUGGGCCGGACGUGCGCGCGCGCUGAGUCUCUCAGUGCGAGUGAGUGAGUGAUACAGCAGGCACGCGCACAGAGCCGCGGGGUUUGGAUCCCACAAUGAACCGGGAAUUAAACCGGAAUGAAAUAAACCUGUUCGGGGAAGAAUGAACGCGUUAAAGCUGUAAGAUGGAGGAAGCAGAUCUGGAGUCUUACCUCAGCGCCAAGUUUCAUCUCUCAGCCUGUAUUUUCUGCUGGGCGCUGCUCAAAAUCUGCCAGAGGAGAUUACGCGCGUCUCCGGUCGUCUCGCAGACUCCAGCUGUCGAGGACUUCGCUACACAUGCUGCUCAUCCAGAAGAUGUCGACUCUCUCCAGGAGAAGAGCGCAGAAAGUCGAGAUGUUUGGAGAGAAUCAGCACUGGAAGAAGCUCAGGACAUGACUGAGGAGUAUUUUGAGACGUGCUCGUGGCACGGCGACGCUUCCUCGGAUUAUAUUGGAGAUCACGUGAACUUCUCUUCUCCUAAACGCUCCCCUGGCCUCAGAAAGCAGGACUCAGAAGGUCAGCAUGCGGUAGUUGGUGGUCCACAGCGGAACACGGAUGGAGAGGAACUCACGGUAGCAUUGGGAAGCGAGUGCAGCUUCCCAGACUCGGAUUCAGGAUGUGCAGUUCUCGAGGAAGCUGGACUUCCCUUUCUCUCACAUACCAGCGUGUUGGAUGCACCAAAAGACUCCGAUUCACAACUUUUUACAACUGGUGAGGAACUCCUGGUACAGGUGGAGGACAGCUGCGAUGCAGUGAUUUUGGAGGAUUCAGGGUGUGAUGAAGCUGCAAAUCAGUCACCAUCUGAGGAAGCUGGACUUCCUUCCAUCCUGCAGUCCAGCACAGCAGCAGAAGACUUAACUGGUUCGGAUUUAGUUGUUGCAAGCAGAGAUCUUGUGGAUGUUUCUUCUUCUAAAUGCCUCCGAAAGCUGGACUCUUCUUAUUCAGAAAGAAUGGAUGAUGUUCUCGAGAUAAACACUGGUGAAGAGCAACUCCUGGCACUAUUAUCCAGUGAGUCCAGUGUAAUGAUUUCAGAUCAUUCAGGGCAUCGUUCAUCUCUUGAGAUCGUGUCGGAGGAAGCUGGACUUCCUUCCAUUUCUCAGGCUACGUCUGAAGAAACCCUUACGCUGACUGACAGAAGUGAAGCAGCGCCGCGGUUAGAACAAACUCCUGAUUUAAGCACAGAUCAUAGGAAAUGUUCUUCUCCUAGAAGCUCUCCUGACCUCAGAAAUCUUCAUUCAGGGUGUGAUGAAGUUCUAAAUGGUUCAUCCGUUGAGGAAGCUGGACUUCCUUUCAUCUCUCAGGCUAGUGUCUCUGUCCCAAAUUUGACGGAUUCACAACUUUUCACAAUUCCUCAAGAGAAACCUGAUCUGAUCUACAGAAGUACAUCAGAACCAGAGUUAAACAGCACUUCAGAUUUCACUGUUACAAGCAAUCACAGAGAUCAUGGGAUCUUUCCUUCUCCUAAAAGCUCUCCUGACCUCAGGAAUCUGGACUCUUCUCAUUCAGAAGGGAAGAACAGUGGUCUGGAGAUGAACACGGAUGGAGAGCAACUCCUGGAACCAUUGACAAGGGAGUGCAGGGUGAUCAUUCUCGAUCAUAAUGCUGCUGAUGUUUCAGCUGUUAGGAUUUUCUCCAAGGAAGCUGGGCUACCUUCCAUCUCUGAGGUUUGCGUAUCCGACCCGGAUGUGAUCGAUUCACAACUUUUUCCAACUUCCGUAGAGACACCUGUAGAGCUCACCUGUAGAAGUGAAGAAGCUCGUCAGUUAGAAAACACUUCAAAUUUAGUUGUUGCAAGCAACGAUCAAGUGGAUUGUUCUCCUAAACGUUCUCCUGACCUCAGAGACCUGGAAAACCUGGAGUCAUCUCAUUCAGAAAUAAAGAAUGAUGGUCAGCAGAUGAACGCUGAUGAAGUGCAACACAAAGUACCACUGGAAAAUAGUGCAGUAGUGGUCAGUGCAGUGAUUUUAGAUGAUUCAGAUGAUGAAGCUGCAAACUGGUCAUUUCUUGAGGAAGCUGGACUUCCUUCCAUCUUGCACACCAACACUGCAUCAAAAGACUUGACGGAUUCAGAACUUUUUACAACUGAAGAUACACUUACAUCUACUGACCAAACUGACACAGUGCUCCAGUUAGACAACGCAUCAGAAUCAGACGCCCCAAGCAGAGAUCUUGUAGAAUGUUCUUCUCCUGACCACAAACAUCUGGACUUAGUUCAUUUAGAAAUCAAGAAUGAUGGCGUUCAAUUAAAAACAGUCACAGAAGAACUUGUAGUACCUUUGACAGGAAACUACAGUGCAGUGAUUUUAGAUUCUUUAUCCUGUGACGAAAUUGUGGAUCCAUCAUCGUUUGAGACCUUGUCCAAGGAAGCUGGACUUCCCUUCAUCUCCCAGGCCAGCACGUCUGACACAGCUUUGAUUACUGACCAAACUGAAGCUGUGGCCCAGUUAGACAGACCUAGUUCCGAUCUAGACUUUGCACGUGAAGAUCAAUUUGAUUUCCCUUCUCCUAAAAGCUCUCCUGACCUCAGGGAUCUGGACUCUUCUCCUUCAGAAAGGAAGAACAGUGGUCUGGAGAUGAACACGGAUGGAGAGCAACUCAUGGUACCACUGGCUAAUGACUGCAGUGUAGUAACUGCAGAUGAUCUGGAGAAUGCAGAAAUUGUUAAUCGGUUAUCUUCUGAGGAAGCUGGACUUCCUUCCAUCUGUCAAGCUAGCGUGUCUGACACAGACUCAAUCGAUUCACAAAGUUUUACAGCUUCUACGUGCACACUAACCCUCACUGACCGAAGUGAAGCAGAACCCCAAUUAGAAACCUCUUCUGAUUUAGACCAUGUGGACUUUUCUUCUUCUGAACACUUUACUGACCUCAGAAACCUGGACUCUGCUCAUUCAGAAAGAAAGAAUGAUGGCCUGGAGGUGAAUGCGGAGGGAGAGGAACUCUCAGUACCUCUGGUAGGUGGCUGCAAUGCAUUUAAUUUAGAUGUCUCAAGGUGUGAUGAAGUUUUAAAAGGUUCAUCUCUUGAGGAAGCUGGAUUUUCAUCUGUCUCACAAGCUAGUGUAUCUCAUACAACAUCAAAAAACCUGACUUCUGAGGAGAUCCCUACAAUGAGAGACAAAAUUAAGGCCGAAUCCCAGUUAGACAGCACUUUUCAUUUAGAUGGUUCGAGAACAGAUCAUGGGAGCAUACCUUCUCCUACAAGCUCUCCUGAAAUCAGAAAUCUGGACUCGUCUUAUUCUGAAAGAAAGGGAACUGAUAAAGAGGAACUCGUGGUACCAUUAGCAAGUGAAUGCAAUGGAGAAGAUGAUGUUGAGAAUGCAGAAAUUGAUCAUUGUUUAUCUCCUGAGGAAACUGGACUUCCUUCACAGAAUGAAGGUCUGGAGAAGAACAAGGAUGGAGAGGAACUCAUUGUACUCUUGGACCCCAAUGCAGUGAUUUUAGGUGAUCCAGGGCAGGAUGAAGUUCUAAAUGGUCCAUCUCCUGAGGUAGCUGAACUUCUUUCCAUCUCUCAGGAUGGCACGUACAACACAGAUUCGAUCAGUUCACACCUUUUUACAUCUUGUAAACACACCCUUGCACCACCAGAUGGAAGUGAAGCAGAGCCUUCUUUAGAGAACGCAUCUGAUUUAACUGGUGCAAGUAGAAAUGAAGAAGAAUCAGAUAAUGUAAAUAAAAUGGAGAAUCUCACUGUUCCUGAAUUAUCACAGAUAAUUUUAAGCACAAAUAUGGUAGAACAUCUGGGACAGAUUGAUGAAGCUAGGGUCAAACCUUCAGAGGUAAAUAGUAACAUAUUUGUGGAUCUAUCAGUAGAUGCGAAGAUGUUCGUAGAUCCAUUAAUGGGUGGAUGUCCUUGUGUUCAGUCUUCUGUCAGCUCUAGUCUUCAGUCUGAAGGUGUAACAUCACUCCAAAAGGAUCAGAGACACUUUUCCAAUCCAAACAUCAACAAGGAGAACUUAUUCGAAAGUUCUCCGUCUAUUAAAGACAGUGAUGAUUAUUCAGCAGAGGAAGAUUCCUCGAGUCCGUCGUGUGCUAACGGUUUUAUUCCAGAGCUUCACGUUCCAAUGAAUGAUGAACAAACUUUGGAUUUGGACAAUGAUCAAACUGAAAGGCGGUCUAAAAAUGUAGAUGAUUUGAUAAAUGUGCCGUUUCUGAACACUUUCAGUGUGAAGGAAUUCACGGUCAUACCCCAGAAAGAGCAGGAGGUCAUUUAUUCAGAUAACUCGGGUUAUAUCGACUCUUAUGUGAUGCCAUCUUCAGCUGGUAAAGAAUCACAACGUGUUCCCUUCGAUUGUGUUCGAGGAGAUGUUGUAGACAGCUAUGUAGGACAACUACCAGGUCCAGUUGAGGUUUUAUUCAAGGAAUCGACUCCUUUAGGUUCUCUUAACAUCACCAAAUUCACUAAACAGGUCCUGCAAGGAGACCAGGCUACGUCUGAGAAGGUCUGUGCGAAGGAGCAUGAAGCUAGUAUUUCAUAUGAUGAUUAUUGUAUGCAGGAAACAUCUGGCUUAAAAGCCUCACUGCAUUUUGAUGGUUCACAUCAUGGUUCAGACACAAACAAUAACACGAAGCAGCACACACCUGAGACACCUUGCACUUUACAUGCUCCUACACUAGAACAGGAACUCUGGAAUCAUGUGCAUCCAUCCAUGCAAGAUGGUCCCUCGAACGUCUUCUCAAAUUUAUCAAACAAUUCUGCCGGCUUCUUUGAGAUCUCUGAACGAGUCAUGAUGGAUUACAAAAGGGAUCAUUCAAAUCCACUUGAUGUAGAAGAUGCUUCUCAGGGGAAGAUGUAUGGUAAAGAGUGCCAGUUGGGGGAACACCAGGACAUCAUGGCAGAUCCUACUGUCCGUCCAGUCGCGGAUGCUCACCGUGGACUGAUUCAUUCCAGUUGUCAGAGCUCUGAGUUUUCAUACGCUCUUUCUAUAAAUGGACCUACAUGUCAGAAGAUCCUCCGAGAGCAAAGCCUAAUGCCUCACUCUGCCUCAAUCAGUGUUACCAGUGGAUCAGGAACUUAUGAAUCCGAAGCAGCACCUUUUUGUCCAGAUUCACUUCAGAUCCAGAGUUACCCUUCUAUAGAUGUUAGCACUGGCCUAGUAUCAGAUUUGGAGCCCAUUAUGGAGUCGGAGCACCCUCAGGAGAUCUCAGAGAGUUUGAAUGGAGAACUGAAGGAUCUUGUAUCAUCUGCGAAUGAGGACGAAUGCACCCCUUUACAAAGGGAUGAAAAUGAUGCGCUAUACAAUGUCGGGUCUAUGAGAGGAUUUUCUGAUAAACCAGAAGAUGUAGACACCACCUCUUGUCUGACAAACGAGUGUGAUGCUAAUGAUGAUGAUGAUGAUGAUGAUAUUCCCAAUUCCGCAUCUCCAGAUCAAGACUUUAUUACAACAAACAGUGAAGAAGUUGAAGAUCCCAGUCACGGCACAACAGGAAGCAACUCGAACUCCACUGGCAGCAGCCAGAGCUUAUUAAAGAACAAGGAGACCAAGAGCAUGUCUGCAGGGAAAAGCUCAAAGUUCUCCAGGUUCACAAGAAUCCCCUCCUUCCGCAAAAGCAAGAGAGAGAUCAAGGUUGGAAGCAAGGUUGAACCUGAGAGCAAAAUAUCUCCUGAGGUUGGAGAGGAGAGAAAUCAGACACCUAGUCAUAAUCCUACUGUAGAUCACUCGACAAAAUACGAGGAUCAAUCUAGUGAUGUGGUCUUGGGGAAAGCCCUUGGUGUAACCUGGAAUGAACAAUCCAAAUCCACGUCCAGCUCCAAGAAUACACAACAACAUGACAGUUACAGUGAGCGAGGGCAAACGAAACCUGUUCUUGAUCCCCAGAAGAAAAGCAAGAGCAGUGAUAACUUCCGCAUGAAGCUCGCACUGGCUCAGAAGUCUCUGUCGAGCUUGUUCGAGAUCCGAACUGCUGAAAAAGACCACCAACAGGAUCCCAGCGUUCUGAACCAGGAUACAAAAUCCAAGCAACCUUGGGUGAAGAGAAAAAUGUCUAAGGAUUCUGAGAUGCUAAAGAGAACUCUCUCUCUUCCUGGACCAAGUGGUGCCAAGUCUAGAUGUCGCCACCUGAGUGACUUAGUGUCUGGGUUAACCGAGGAUCGUCCGGAUCUUCAGGGAUUCCAGAGCUCCAAGGGGGAUUUUAAAAGCACAUCACACUCUGAAGCAUCAGUGUCUGGACCUAAGGCGGAGCCUGUUGAGAGGAAUACACUAUCUAAUGGCUUAGCUAAAAACUUUGAGGCUGUCCACAGUCAUGAGAACAUCUCGGAGAAACCCAUGCACCCUAGUGUUUUUGCUCUAACAAAUCAGCUAUCUCCAUCCUGGACAAGAUCCCUGGGUUCCUUUGAAGGACUUGAUACACCAACUAAGCCAAUGACUCCCAAACCACAAAAUCCUGGGGUUUGGGGCCAGAGGAGCAGCCUCCGCAACCCCUCAAAAUCCGUUGCCACCUCCCUGUGUUCUCUUGGUGAGGGUCCGAGUUUGGAGGGACUGUCAGAUCGUUCAGAAAGGCGAGUUGGGCAAAGAGCAACACGACUUGCGUCGGCUCAGUCCUUUGAGUCGGAGUACUUACUCGAAGACAUCAACUCGGACAACCGAUCUCAAACCAGCCUGGUGUCCACCAACUCCGCCACGCAGUCUGAGGAUGGUGGUACAUCAUCUCUCCAGUCAUCUUCGUCCGUGCUCCGUGUCAGAAGACGCGAUCGGCGUGUGGUCCGACCCAGACCGGUCUCUGACCUCUGCAGCUGGACUUUACCUCUGCGGGAAAUCGGAGAGACGGCGGCCGGUGCGAUUCAGGAGAGGAACGUCACAGAUAAUUGGACGGCUAAGGCGCAGAAGAGAUCGUGCUCAGAUGAGCUGCUCGGGGAGUUCCAGGAAGUGCAGAAGACGAAGGUGAUGCUGCAGAGGAGCCUCGGGACGCUGAGCACCACAUCUGAAGAGCAGCAGAAAGUACAGAUGAGACUGUCCUUCACUUCUCCACAGCAAUUGUCCUCCACCUCUCUUAAAGACCACUUCUUCUCUCAGAGCACUCCGAUUGGACUGGACUGUCUCCACUGGCCACGCCCAGUUUCAUUCUCAGUAUUCGGUCUGUUUCUCUCUCUCUCUCUCUCUGUGUCUAAAUUUCUGUCUGUUUAUCUGCCUGUCUGUCUCUCUAUCUUACUAUCUGUCUGUCUGUCUGUCUGUAUAACUGUCUCUCUGUUUAUUUUGGCUGUCUAACAGUCUGUGUCUAACUGUAUAUCUGUUCUUUCUAUCUGUCUCACUGUUGCUCUGUCUAUCUGUCUUGAGUCAGUGUCUCUCUCUCUGUCUGAUUCUCUGUUGAUCUAGGCCUGUCAUUCUGUCCAUGUGUAAACACUUCUGUAGGCGUGUGUGUGUGUGUGUGUGUGUGUGUGUGUGUGUGUGUGUGUGUGUGUGUGUGUGUGUGUUAGUGAAUAUUGGAUGAAAUACAGGCUCCUUUGAGAAGAAACAAGAAGUCCAUUAUUGCUGUGUAACAUUUCUGUCCCACACCGUGACCUUUAUGGACGCAGCACAGUGAGCUGAUCCUUUCACAUCACUGUGCUAGCACCUGGCUAACACACAGCUAGCGCACGGCUAACACACAGCUAGCGCACGGCUAACACACAGCUAGCGCACGGUUAACACACGGCUAGCGCAUGGCUAACACACAGCUAGGGCACGGUUAAGACACAGCUAGCACACAGCUAACACACGUCACACUCGUCUCUUAGCUGUUCUCUGUGACUCCGAGUGUGUGUGGAAGAGUGAGGGAGAGUAAUUACUGAAGUGAAAGGAAGUGACACGCUCAUGUUUCUGUCUGCAGAGUCGUGUCUCGUCCGACCUUCAGAGCACACACUCGCGCAGCCGGCCGCUCUCGGUGAGUAAACGUUCUUUAAAUUGUGCGAUGGUACAGAGUUUAUCCAGCAGCUGCUGUUGGGGAAAUCACAGAGAGAGAAAACAGGAAAAGCGCUGUGACAUCAUCAUCACGCGACGAGUUUCUUUCUACGCUCACGUGAACUCUCAGACGUCCCUUGUCUCACGUCUCAGCAGUGUCAUAAUAUCAUGUUUUACUUUUUUAUUCUUCUCUUCUUUCAUGUUUUUGCUCAGUUUUGGUCAGUCACCUGUUUUUAAACUAAUUUAUAAAUGAUUUUUAGUGUUUUUUUCUGAUGCUCUUGCCUCAGGUUCUCAAAUAAACUCGAAAAAUAAUCAUUAUUAAAUUAACAGAGGAUUUUUAGGCCUUUUAAAGCUCCGCUCAGAGAAACUAAUUUUAACAUUUAAAAAAAUGACUGCUGUUUAGUAAUCUAAACAAAAAAAUCCUGUCAUUUAAAAGUGCCGAUUAUUUAAAGAGACACGCUCAUGUUAAGAGGGUCGGGACAGGUUUAUUUAACUAUAAUAAUAAUAAUGAGAUAAUUAGCUUCAUGGUUUCCUCCUGAAUGUUGAACACAAGUAAAUAAACCUUUUAAAUUAAUGUCUGAUAACUACAGUGGUGCUUGAAAGUUUGUGAACCCUUUGGAAUUUAAGAAAUUUCUGCAUAAAUGACGUAAAACAUCAUCAGAUUUUCACACAAGUCCUAAAAGAUGAUAAGGAGAACCCGAUUAAACAAACGAGAUGAAAAUAUUAUACUUGUUCAUUUAUUUAUUGAGGGAAAUGAUCCGAUAUCACAGAUCUGUGCGGAGUAAAAGUAUGUGCACCUUUCUUCAAACACAAUGCUUCUCAUUUAAACCAAAAAGUUCUCUUUUGGUCUAUUCAUCCAUCCACAGAAUAUUUUUCCAUCGGUCUUCCGUCUCGUCCGCGUGAUCGUUUUCAAACUGCAGAAGGACAGAAAUGUUCUUUUUGGAGAGCGGUGGUUUUCUCCUCGCAGCCCUGACAUGCACUCCAUUGGUGUUCAGUGUUCUCCUGAUGGUGGACUCAUGAACGUUAACAUUAGCCAGUGUGAGAGGAGUUCCCCUGGGUUCCUCUGUGACCUGGUGGACGAUUCCACGUCUGGCUCUUGGAGAGAUCUUCGUUGGUCUCCACUCCUGUGGAGGGGAACGAUGGUGGUGAAUUUCCUCCGUUUCUACACGAUCUGUCUGGCUGUGGAUGGGUGGAGUCCAAACUCUUUACAGAUGGUUCUGUGACAUUUUCCAUCCUGAUGAGCUUCGACAACUCUUUCCCUGAGGUCCUCGGAAAUCUCCUUCGCUCGUGCCGUGAUCCACUUCCGCAGACACGUGUCGUGAAGAUCAGACUCUGAUAGAUCCCUGUUCUUUAAAUAAAACAGGACGCUCGCUCGCUCGCUCACUCACACACACCUGAUCAUCAUCCCACUGACUGAAAACACCGGACUCCAAUCUCACCUUCACAUUAACUGAUAAUCCUAGAGGUGCACAUACUUUUACUCCUCACAGAUCUGUAAUACUGGAUCACUUUCCUCGAUAAAUAAAUGAACAAGUAUAAUAUUGUUGUUUAAUCGGGUUCUUUAUCUACUUUCAGGACUCGUGUGAAAAUCUGAUCAUGUUUUAGAUCAGAUUUAUGCAGAAAUGUCAAAUUCUUUCAAACAAACUUUCCAGCACCGCUGUACACGACUCUGUUCUUCUGUCUGUCUAAUUUAUCCAUCUGUCUGUCUGUUUUAUUUAUAUAUAUAUAUAUAUAUAGGAUGUAAAAGUCAUAAUUUUGUGGUGUACAGUAUGCGGCUUGAGUAAGUAAAUGAAUUUAAAUGAAUUACAAUGUUACAAUCGUAUUAUAAAGAGGAAUAAAAUGCUAAUAUUUGUUCUGUUUACAGGUUUAUGGUGUUUAUUUUUGGAGUUAGUGUCAGUUUUAUAGCGUUACAUUUGAUUGAAUCUUAAUUGGAAUAGUUUACUCGUUAAGCGUUAAUUAAAACCCGCGUGAGCUUCUGACGCUGUGAUAAAUGAGCAGAUGACGGGAUUCGCCCUGCGCUAGUGCGCGAGGUGUUCAGUGAGGCGUUGCAGAACCUCUUCAGCCCUGUAGGACGUGGGUUCCGAACCCUGCGUAGUGGAGACGUUCUGCAGGAAGCUCUUUGUCACUCCUGUACGAGUGCAGUGGGUGAUGUAUGAAUUGUUGACACUGCUUACAGAAACGGCUUUUUUCUCCAGGCACGUGUGCACGUGUGACUGUCUUCUACACGCUUAGACGUGCACUAGACGUGUUCAGGGAUGAACCUGUAGUGGAUAAAUAAGUGCACUCGGACGUGCGGGUUGAAUUCUCUCCUCGGUUUGAGUAACAGCACUGAAGGGGGUCAGUACGGGGGGACUGUGAUGCACGGAUGAAGACGGUCUUUUUUCAUCGCCAGCCAGUUCCCUUUCUAAUCAUUAAAAAUGUCUUCUUUUAUUUUAAUAAACGUGUGCGUAUCAUCUCUCAUUCAGUAUUCUAUAUUAAUAUUCAGGGUUGGCAAGUCGAGCUUGAACUUAAGCUUGUGUAAAUCGUGUGUCCGCGUCUCCUCAGUGGCUCCCUGUUGAUGCUGUGAGUGUGUGUGUGUGUGUGUGAGUGUGUGUGUGUGAAAGCGAGAGGGAGCCAGAGAGAGAGGGAGAGGCUCGAUCAUGUGUGUUUCAGUCUGUGAGCGAGUGUAGGAAGGAUGCAGGCGACAUCGUGAGUGUUUCUGACGCUUGAAAUUUACCAGUGGAGGUUGUGAUUCGCUCUCACAUACACACGCACGCACGCACACACACGCGCGCGCACACACACACACACACACACACACAUUUGUCUGGAGUCUGUACCAGCUUGAAGAGCAGCCGCCCUCCUCUUCUUCCUCGACUGUGUGUGUGUGUGUGUGUGUGUGUGUGUGUGUGUGUGUGUGUGGCCGAAUGCAGACACAGCAGCAGAUUUGGGAGUCAUUAGGGGGGUGAAAGCGAUACGAGGGGUCAUGUCUCAUUACUGGAGCCUAGAAAGUCUACACUCCACCAACGGUAAGCGUCCUUCUGUCUCUUCAACGCUGCUGUAGUGCGCACUACCUAGUGAUGUUCUGUCUCCCUGAGACGUCUCUCUGCGUUUUAUAGCGUGACAGGUGGACAGUGUCUUUAAAUACUGUAGUAUAGCCGGGGUUUAUUGGAAAUGGAGCAAAUCGGUGUGUGUGUGUGUGGGGGGGUGGGGGGUGGGGGGGGGGGUGGAAAUAAGAGAUUUAGGAACAUCACCUUGUUGCUCUCAGCUUAAAAAAAAAAAAAAAAAAAAAAAAAAAAAAACUUGAAAUCAUCUCUAUUAAAAAUCAAUCAAUAAAUAAUGGUUCAGUUGUUCGUGCAGUUUUACAGCGGAAACGUACAGCUGCGGGUUUUCUGAAACGAGUUCCAGUUUGUGUCUCCGCUUUGAGUCUCUUUAUUUCCCUCUUCCUAUAGAUUAUUAGAGUUUAGAUUAUAAACAUGAAGCACCACGGGGCACUAUGUUACAAAAUUAUAACCGUAAAGAUUCACUAAUGCUAAAAAGUUUUUCAAAUUAUGAGGUGAAAAUGUUUUUAAAAGUUACUAAUGUUAAAAAUGUAUCAAAUUAAAAUGUAAAAAAUAUAAAGUAAAAGAUAACAAUGUUACAAAAUGAUAAUGUACAAAAUAACUUACUCAUGUAAAAAUGUUACAAAAUUUGUGUUUAAAAGUAAAAAAAAAAAACGUCACAAGAUCACAAUGUUUAGAUUGCGUAAAAAGAAUUACUCGCAUUAUUCUUAGAAUUACUGAGAAUGUAGAAAUAAGUCAAAAGACUGUUACAAAAUGAUAAUGUUAAAAUGUUUUAAAAAAAUAUAAAGUGAAAAAUAUUAUAAUGUAAAAAAAAUUCUACUGCUGAAAGGUUGGUGUUGGAAAUGUACACGAUUACAAUGUGAAAAUGUUUCAAAAAUGAUAAAGUCACGAAAUCACAGAGUUAGAAACAAAGUUACACUACAGGAAGUCGUGAGAGGAAUCUGCAACAAUUCCGUGUCAAAUAUUUAGUGCACUCGAACAUCAACCCCAUCUCGUACCCUACAGGAGGAGUAGUGCACUAGAUCAUCUCAGAGUUCAGCUCUUCUGUGA
ensembl:lncRNA